GCUCCGGUGGUGUAGUCCGGUCAAGCAUAGCGGCCUUACCAGCCGCUGAUCGCGGGUUCAAAUCCCGCCCGGAGCACCA
rnacentral:tRNA from 1 species